GUCUGACGCUCACUUGUUUACAUAUGAGACGUAUUUACGUGUUUCAGCGCUCAAAGUUUGUUGUUUCUACCCGCGAAGUGCCUUGGAAACAUUGUCUCUCGACAUCCAUUGCUUUCAGUCUCCCCUGAGGCGGGGGGCGUUGGCCACAUAUGCGGUCUUCUCCAAGGUUUCUCAUAGUCACCGUCAUCGACGUCCCACUGGGGGAGCAAGAAAGCAAAGAAGCAGCAGACCACUCGAUGAUGUACACAAAGGCACACCCGGAAGUGAACCCCCCGCCCCAUCUCCCGAUUUUGGAGGUCUCAAGAUUGGCAAUCUUGACAGCUUGGAAAAGCUUCUCUGCUCCAAUGACCCCACAAGCAGAUGGACUUGAACACAGUCUACAGUCAUCAGCCCCUAGCACAGUACACCCAUGGAGAACAAGGAUGGAAAAGUGACCUCUUGUGGUGAAUUAGGGCCAGUAGCUGUAUUUGUUUAGAUUUUUUUAUUUACCAGGUAUUCGCAAUAAGAACACAUGUUGCAAGGUUAUAAGUAUGUCUUAGUUGUUUGUUGGUUAGUGGUGAAAGUAGUGAUUUUCUAGAUAGCGGUGUGGGUAUUGGU